rnacentral:sRNA from 1 species
UCCUAGCCCCGAUUGAAGCGACAUCCUUUUUGGUUGCGGGUGGAGCAAAGCGAAGCCCGCAAAAAAGAUACAGCAGAAAGCGGGAUAAAGC